CACCAACAAUGUCCAUUAGGAUACCACAUUCAAAGGUCACUGAUUUCAGAGACUAAAGGUAGAUAAAUCCACAAAGGAUGAACAGAAACCAGUGCAAAAUGGCUGAAAAUUCCAAAAACCAGAAUGUCUUUUCUCUUCCAAGGGAUCCCAAGCCCUCACCAGCAAGGGAACAAACUGGAUGGAGAAUGAGUGUGACAAAUUGACAGAAGCAGGCUUCAGAAGGUGGGUAAUAACAAACUCCUCUGAGCUAAAGGAGCAUGUUCUAACCCAAUGCAAGGAAGCUAAGAACCCUGAAAAAAGUGUGGACAAAAUGCUAAGUAGAAUGACCAGUGUAGAGAACAUAAAUGCCCAGAUGGAGCUGAAAAACAGCAUGAGAACUUCAUGAAGCAUACACUAGUUUCAAUAGCCAAAUCGAUCUAGCAGGA